rnacentral:rRNA from 1 species
UACGUAGGGUGCGAGCGUUAAUCGGAAUUAUUGGGCGUAAAGCGCGCGCAGGUGGUUUCUUAAGUCUGAUGUGAAAGCCCACGGCUCAACCGUGGAGGGUCAUUGGAAACUGGGGAACUUGAGUGCAGAAGAGGAAAGUGGAAUUCCACGUGUAGCGGUGAAAUGCGUAGAGAUGUGGAGGAACACCAGUGGCGAAGGCGACUUUCUGGUCUGUAACUGACACUGAGGCGCGAAAGCGUGGGGAGCGAACAGG